rnacentral:lncRNA from 1 species
AACGAGUAGGAGGACGAGGUUCACUGCGUGCAUGUUGAUGUCGAUGAAGCUAUGGUGAGAAUUGGGCCGGACCAAGAUCACCCAAUACACGAGGUCGGUUAACAUUGCCGCAGGUAAGAGCGCUUGGAACACACAUUGUGUGACGUAACCUCCAAUGCCUGCAUCUUCUAGCUUCUCCUCCCCUCUUGCAAAUGGUAGUGGCGGUCCAGCCUCGUAAUCGAAGCUUUUGACUCCAUCUGAUGUUUCUUGGUGAGUGUGUAAAAGGAUGUCAUGGUCAGUGGACUUGGGCGGUGGGAUGCGAUUCACGGAGACCAUGGUGCGCUCCUCGAGGAAAUGCAAAAGGCUUAGUCGAAAUGAAAGUGCGAAGUAGAUGAUGAGCAGGGUGAAUGUCCAUUGUG